rnacentral:rRNA from 1 species
AUUGAACGCUGGCGGCAGGCCUAAAACAUGCAAGUCGAGCGAGCGGCGGACGGGUGAGUAAUGUUUGGGAAACCGCCUGAUGGAGGGGGAUAACUACUGGAAACGGUAGCUAAUCCCGCAUACCAUCAGAUGUGCCCAGAUGGGAUUAGAUAGUAGGUGGGAUAACGGCUCACUUAGGCGACGCUCCCUAGCUGGUCUGAGAGGAGGACCAGCCACACUAGACCUGAGACACGUGCCAGACUCCUAAGGGAGGCAGCAGUGGGGAAUAUUGCACAAUGGGCUCAAGCCUGAUGCAGCCAUGCCGCGUGUGUGAAGAAGGCCUUCGGGUUGUAAAGCACUGUCAGCGGGGAGGCGUUAGCCGCAGAAGAAGCACCGGCUAACUCCGUGCCAGCAGCCGCGGUAAUUC